rnacentral:lncRNA from 1 species
UAAACAAGAAUCUUUGUGUUCAAAAGAAAGCGUGUGCUUUUCUUCCUUGGAAAAUGCACAUUCAGAAGAUCCCUGGAUUGAAGUGGGAUGGUUCACAGCAGACAGCAUAAACAGCAAAUUUUUUUCUCCCUUCAGCAGAUCCCCAUGUCAAGAUCUACCCCUCCAUUCCUAAGCAUAAGAAACCUUAUUUGCAAUGAAAGAUGAUGAUGUGCUGAGACUGUGAAAAGAUUAUGCAAGAGCCCUGGGGAUGGCUCAGGCACAAGGCAAAGGAGCAGCUCUGCAGAUGGAACCAUCACGGCCUUCACAGAUUAGCGUGGACAGGAGGAGCGAUGCAUGAAGGAUGGCUGCCCUGGGCCUGCGCUCUGAGGAGAUGCAACCCGCUGAGGUGCUGAGGCGACCAGAAUUCGCAUGACCACAUCAGGAUGGCACCAAGCCAGAGGGCUUUUCGGAAAUUGUUCUUCCUUCUGCAGACAUUGAGAUGCUCCUUCUAAACCACUUACCAUCUGCUCAUGCGGAAGGUCAGAUGAUGAUAACCUGCUCAGUAAGACACAGGACUUUGUGGUCACCUCAAGAAAAGUGGGUUGGAGGAGACUGUGAGACCCUGGCAAAAUGAUAGCUACUUCAUUUAGUUAAUAUCAUCAUAGAAUCAUUAUUAGAGUUGGAAAGGACUCUUAAAGGCCCUCUGGUCCAACCCCCUGCAAUGAACAGGGACGCCUCCAUCUCCAUCAUGUGCUCAGAGCCAGUCCAGCCU